GGGAAGGUGGCUCAGUGGUAGAGCACUUGCCUUGCAUGCCUAAGGCCCUGGGUUCGAUUCCUCAGCCCCA
rfam:Dipodomys ordii contig_58794, whole genome shotgun sequence.